rnacentral:misc_RNA from 1 species
GAUGAAGAACGCAGCGAAAUGCGAUAAGUAAUGUGAAUUGCAGAAUUCAGUGAAUCAUCGAGUCUUUGAACGCACAUUGCGCCCCCAGGUAUUCCGGGGGGCAUGCCUGUCCGAGCGUCAUUGCUGCCCUCAAGCACGGCUUGUGUGUUGGGCCCCCGUCCCCGGUUUCCCCCGGGGACGGGCCCGAAAGGCAGCGGCGGCACCGCGUCCGGUCCUCGAGCGUAUGGGGCUUUGUCACCCGCUCUGUAGGCCCGGCCGGCGCCAGCCGACACCCAACUUUAUUUCUAAGGUUGACCUCGGAUCAGGUAGGGAUACCCGCUGAACUUAAGCAUAUCAAUAAGCGGAGGA